AGAGGAACAAAGAAAUCCAGAGGAGAAGGGAAAGAAACAAUAAUUUACGUUAGCAAACCAUCAGGAUUCUGAACACAAAGCUACUGCUUAUGCAAAAUUCUAUAACCACUGUGUGUGUGAUGGAUGCAAACACAAGCCUUUGCCAUGCCCAUCAAUGCAAGGGUGCAGAGCAGUCCUGCCGAGGCUGGACAGCAAAGCUAUCUGGGCAUGGCUAGCACGCAUCCUGCCAGCCAAACCUGCCGCGCUGAUCCUGAACCUGGAGUGAGCUGGGUCAGCUGCACCUCCUGCCUUGGGUUACAGGGAAAUGCCAUGCAGCAGCACCCCAUGACCUGCUGUUUUAGGGAGAU